GACUUCAGCUGAGUGACUCGUUGAGAUGGACGUAAUGAGACAGGUCCAUGCAGGCCGGGAGAUGGCGGCCAGGCCAUAUACAAGGUGAAAAACAAUCAGGUCUGUCCUGUUUUCGAGCUGGGACGAGAUUGCUCAUGUUAUUGCAUUCUCACGGCAUUGAAUCGAGUGCAACUGGAAUGUUCA